CUUAAAUUGAAGAGUUUGAUCAUGGCUCAGAUUGAACGCUGGCGGCAGGCCUAACACAUGCAAGUCGAGCGGAAACGAGUUAUCUGAACCUUCGGGGAACGAUAACGGCGUCGAGCGGCGGAAGGUGCAGAAAUUCCUUGGUAAUUGCCCUGAUGGCGGGGGUAACCGUUGGAAAUGAUGGCUAAU
rnacentral:rRNA from 1 species